UAGGGAAUAUUGCUUAAUGGGCGAAAGCCUGAAGCAGCAACGUCGCGUGUGUGAAGAAGGCCUUCGGGUUGUAAAACACUUUUUGAGGGGAUGAGGAAGGACAGUACCCUCAGAAUAAGCCUCGGCUAACUACGUGCCAGCAGCCGCGGUAAAACGUAGGAGGCGAGCGUUAUCCGGACUUACUGGGCGUAAAGCGCGUGCAGGCGGCACGGCAAGUUGGAUGUGAAAGCUCCCGGCUUAACUGGGAGAGGUCGUUCAAAACUGCCGAGCUAGAGUGCGGGAGAGGGAGGCGGAAUUCCGGGUGUAGUGGUGAAAUGCGUAGAUAUCCGGAGGAACACCAGUGGCGAAAGCGGCCUCCUGGUCCGCAACUGACGCUCAGACGCGAAAGCUAGGGUAGCAAACGG
rnacentral:rRNA from 1 species